rnacentral:rRNA from 1 species
AUGUCUUGUGUCAAACUCCCAAGAGGUUUAUGUGAUCAUACAAAGUCUACAAUCCAAAAGUUUUGGUGGGGGUGCAGGCAAGGAGAGAGGAAACCGGCUUGGGUCUCGUGGGAUAUGAUGACAAGACCAAAACUUUUGGGAGGACUUGGAUUCAGAGAUCUAGAGCUGUUUAACCUUGCUUUAUUGGCGAGACGGGCUUGGAGAAGUUUUUAGGAGCCUUUAUCUUUGAGUGCCAGAAUACUCAAAGCGAGUCAUUUCCCGGAAACGACAUUACUUGAAGCUGAGCUUGGGUCCCGUCCAUCACAGAUUUGGCGCCCUAUAUUCAAGGGAAGGGAUGUGUUGAAGCAAAGGUAUCAUCAGGUGGAUUGGUCAUGGUCAUACUACAGACAUAUGGGCGGACAACUGGAUUCCUAA